rnacentral:rRNA from 2 species
UACGGAGGGUGCAAGCGUUAUCCGGAUUCACUGGGUUUAAAGGGUGCGUAGGUGGCUUUGUAAGUCAGUGGUGAAAUCUCGGAGCUUAACUCCGAAACUGCCAUUGAUACUGCUUAGCUUGAAUCAAGUAGAGGUGGAUGGAAUAUUACAUGUAGCGGUGAAAUGCUUAGAUAUGUAAUAGAACACCGAUUGCGAAGGCAGUUCACUAUGCUUGUAUUGACACUGAGGCACGAAAGCGUGGGGAUCAAACAGG